GUGUAUGUUUAGAUAAACCAGCUGAUACAUGUAAUAACUGUAUUAAAAUUAUAAUUUAACAGAAAAGGAAGAAGAAGAAAAGAAGGAAGAACAGUCAGUAGAAUCCACCUCCAGCUGGUUGUCAAGAUUAAAUCCUUUUGGAUCUAGAUAAACAAUAUCUUCAGUCUGGUAGUAUGCAUAGCAGCACUUUAGAAAUUAUCAGAAGAGAUUUGUAAAUAAAAACUAUUACAAGACUCCAA